AUUCGAUGAAGAAAGUUCUUGGCGUGGUAGAAUACGUGAAAUUUAAAUUUAUUGGCAAAUUCAAAUGUAUCUUUAAGUGUUGUUCUUUUUAGCAAGAAGAAAAAUGAAAGUAUUUAGAGACUGGAUUGAUUUAAAACUACUUCUUAUUGCAUUCAUUGUAUACGAAACAUCUGAAGCAUGCUGCCACUAUUAUCCUGUUUAUUACCCGGUUCAUGUAGGAGGUGGAAAAGAACAUAUUGUUGUUCACACUACAAGUGAUCACCACCAUCAUCAUCAACAUGGACAUCAUCAUGGUCAUCAUCAUGGGCAUCACCACGGUCAUCACC